rnacentral:miRNA from 1 species
CAGCUAAGCCAUCUCUCCAGCCCAGAAAAAUAUAUUUUUUUAAGAUGACACUUCUAGAGCUGGAGAGAUGGAUCAGCAGU